rnacentral:lncRNA from 1 species
AGAUGGAUGAGUUGCACAUUUCUAUGGUCCAGUGGAUGGUAAAUAUGCUGAUUAUAAUGGUUCCUGACUUUACUGACCAAAACACUCUUCCAAAAUUGGAGGAGGAAAGUGCUGAGAAACGAAAUAUAAGAGUUAUGCAGUUGGAGCUAGAUGCGACUGCACUGGCAAGAAAGUUGUCCCAGUACUCCACCUAUUUGAUCAGUUGUUGUAAAGGGAUGGUAACAGCAAUGGCUCUGACUCAAGCAGCACAGUCACAAAGUAAUCCUGCUAAGGAGCUUCGGGAGCUGGAUAGGAUGAAGAAUGAAUGUUAUGAGUGGAUCAACACAUGUACUCACCUCCUUUCUCAGAUCAAAGGCAGAAAAGUGAAGUUAUUGACAUCUGAAGAAAAAGAGAAACUACUUGAAGAAGAGGAAGUUAGAAAAGACUUCAUUGAACCUGAAAUAGAUAUAGAUAAGCCUUCUAAAGAGGAUGAAAAAGAAAGUGAAGAGACUAAGGAAUCUCAGGAGAGAGUGGAAGAGGAAGAAGAGAAAGCACAAGAGAUCCCUUCAACAUCUACAGAGAAGGAAGAAGUCAUUCGAUAUAUUGAGGAAGAUGAAAAUGUUUAUUCCAAACCUCUAUCAGGAGAAUAUGUAUUGGCUUCCUGGAAAGAAGAAGCUGAGCAAGGUACAUUGGCUCAAAAGCAUGUUGAAGUAUUGGCUGUAAUUGAACAUAUGCAGGAGAAAUUAAAAGAGGUUGAAAGCAGAGCCAGACAGGCAGAAGAGAAAUUUGAUGAAGUAUAUGAGAAGCUUCAUUACACCCUCAUAAAAAAUAAAGAUCUGGAAGGGGAACUAGAAGAAAUUAUCAAGAUUAGAAAGGAAUCAGAAGACAAACAAGAAAAAUAUGAAAGAGGAAAAGAAGAGAAAGUUAAAGUGGUGGAAAAACAAAAGCAGGAGGGUGAGGAGGAGGAAGAAUAAAUUUAGGCCAAUAGAAAUUUGCUCAAAACCUCUAAAGAAAGAGGUACAACGCAAAGAGAGUAAUCCUGACGGUAAAGCCAGAAUCUGGACUAAAUCCAUUAACAAGAUAAAUCCAAGUAGCAUCCAAAGUAUGCUGGGUGGGGUUCACAGUGGCUACAUCACUGACACACCCAGAUAGUACUGAGCUAAAGAGCUGACACAUGGCUCAGUUGGAGGACUCCCUUUGCAACAGCUACUAGAAAAGUCACAGUAUACAACCCAAGAGCAUUUUCUCUUUAAAAGCACAGCAGUGGCUGUGGAGAUCAGUGCAUUAGCUUACUUCCCAGAUUAAAAACACUUCCUGCAAAAGUGUACUAGCCUCUUUAAUUAAUUUUCUGAGAGGUAUGUGAAAGUACCAGUUUCUUUUUUUCUUUUUUCUUUGUUAUUUUUAGAUACACAUGACAGUAGAGUGUAUUUUGAUAUUUUGUACACACUUGGA